GCAACUGCAGCCUGUGAAGGAUGUAUUUCAAGGUGUCUGUGAUUUGGGAAAGGAACGUUUGAGUGGUGUUAUGAUGUCAGCACCUUCAAAUAUGUCCUUCAGAGAUUGCAGUUGAACUCGGCCAGCCCGCUCGUGGUGUCAUGGGUCUUCAAAUGUGCUCACCUAAAGAUGGAUUUGAAGGAGCCUUUAAUCUGCCGUGAGAUGUGUAUGCUGUUAUGAUGUCAUUGGCCUUCAAAUGCAGCAUUAUUGCUUUGAAAAUGGGGUGUACCAAAGCUUUGGAAGGCUGCAUUUGAAGAAAUCGUAGAUUAGGGGCAACCUUCAUUUUGGGUAACCUUCUCAUGGCAUCCUCUGCCUUCAAAUGUGUCCUCCACAAAUGUUGCCCCUCAAUAGGGACACAGCCACGCCACUAGAACUGCUGACAAUAGAUUCAUUCAACCUGAAUGAGGACUUACUUUUUGAGGGUGGAAAAAGGAAGCUUUGGAUGUCAAAAGCAUAUCUAUUUUCCCGAUUUCAACCCCCCACACACAUACAAACACACACCGUUGUGCACAAUCUCAUGUCGUGGCCGCACACACUCAAAAUGGCCUCGAGUGAGUAAUAUGCACAAUAUCAGGUUGCAAUAUUCUUACGUUUAUGUACAGAUCUUUUUUUUUUUUAUUGAUGGGGAUGGUGCGGAUGCUUCAUUUCAAUGACAACUUUCUAUUCUUACGACGAUAAACUGGCAUGUUUUCGAUUCUCAUGUGAGCGUUUUUGUAUUUUUUAUUUUUUUUCCUUGCUGCGAUGUCAGUGGUAGUUGGGGAAUCGAUGAGGAGUGCGCGGUUCCGAGCCCGCCCACUCGCUCGCUUCUCUUUCACUACAAGUCUGUGCUGUUUCACCUCCGUGUGUUUGUGUUUGCGCGUGCGCGGUGUACACUAAGCAGGCAUUUAUAUAAGACAAUGGAUGAAGUUUGUGUGUGUAUGCGUGUGUGCGCAUACUUUCCUCUUCCGUUCUUCCCUUCAUCCCACUCGUAACAUUUGACCCACUCAUGUAACACAACACACACACACACCGUGCGCUUUGUGUGCGUGUGCGUUGUACCAUCACUUGAGAAUUUUCACACUUUUUUUCCAACUUGCAUGACUGUGCUUGUGUUUCUGGUGGUUUCUUUUUUUCUUUUUUUGGGUAAUCAUUUAUUUUUGGACCAGAGCGCGCGCACACACCGACACACACACGCGCGCACACACAUUCUAUGCUGAUGUCGUGUGUGCGUGUGUUUGUGUGCUGUUACUCUCACUUGUGUCUAAGUUCAGGGGUUUCUAAGCUACUGCUUGUGUUGUACAUAAGACUUGUCACUCGGUACCGCUGUACAAUGUGUAAAUAAGUAAAGGUUACAUUUUUCUUCG